rnacentral:rRNA from 1 species
GUCUUUUUGAUUUAUAUUUAUUUAAAGUCUAAUCUGCUCACUGAAUUAAAAUUUAAAGAGCCGCAGUAUUUUAACUGUGCAAAGGUAGCAUAAUAAUUUGUUUUUUAAUUGAAAACUAGAAUGAAUGAUUGAACGAGAUAUAUUCUGUCUCAAUUUUAAUUUAAUAUAAAUUAAUUUUUUAGUUAAAAAGCUAAAAUUAAUUUAAAAGACGAGAAGACCCUAUAGAUUUUUAUAUAAUUAUUAAUUAAUUUAUAUGUAUAUAAAUAUAUUUAUAUUUAUUAUUAAUUAUAUUUUAUUGGGGUAAUAAAAAAAUAAAAUAAACUUUUAUUAAAUAAAAACAUAAAUUAAUGAAAAUUUGAUCCAAAUUUAAUGAUUAAAAGAUUAAAUUACCUUAGGGAUAACAGCGUAAUUUUAAUUUUAAGUUCUUAUUGAAAUUAAAGAUUGCGACCUCGAUGUUGGAUUAGGAAAAAUUUUAAAAGUAGAUUUUUAAAUUUUAGGUCUGUUCGACCUUUAAAAUCUU